AUUGAACGCUAGCGGGAUGCCUUACACAUGCAAGUCGAACGGAGUGGGGAACGGGUGAGUAAUGUCUCGGAACGUGCCCAGUAGCGGGGGAUAACUACGCGAAAUCGUAGCUACUUCCGCAUACUAUUGGUCCGACCUAUAUCGGUUUAGCUAGUUGGUGGGGUAACGGCUCACCAAGGCGAGGAUCCGUAGCUGGUUUGAGAGGACGACCAGCCACACUGGGACUGAGACACGGCCCAGACUCCUACGGGAGGCAGCAGUGGGGAAUCUUGGACAAUGGGGGAAACCCUGAUCCAGCAAUCCCGCGUGUGCGAUGAAGGCCGUAGGGUGGUAAAGCACUGUUGGCAGGAAAGCGGUACCUGAAGAAUAAGCACCGGCUAACUACGUGCCAGCAGCCGCGGUAAUUC
rnacentral:rRNA from 1 species